GGGGAUUGGCCAACUCUAUCACUGGCGGCAGACGGAUGUUGAGACGAGAGGGGCUCUCCGCCUUGAACUGUCUCCAGCUCGCUGCCUGGCGUGGAUCCAUCGUCUCCGCCUCCUCGAUGUCCCAUAAUAUCAUAUCGUAGUCCAUCCAGCCGUCGUCGCCGCAAAAAGGGGCUCGCUCCUCGAAGGUAGAUCUGUGGAUGAUCUCCACCAUAAUAUCUCGCCAUUUGGAGCGGUCGGGGAAGCGCCCCCGCACCACGCGCAACAUCUCCGCGUGCACCUCCGAAGAGUGCAGGUCGAUUUCCGGCAGCAGCUCCACCGGAAUCGUCUACUGAAGGGCCAUCAGAGCUGCCACCAUUGUUGUGGGGUGUGCCUGCCUCGCGUGGCCUCGACGACACCUCCCCGCUAUCCUCCUCUCGGAUCUGGGGGCUGGGGCUUGGUGGGUGGAUGGCGGGAGGCUGAGAGUUGGAGUUAUGGGAGUAGGCGAGGCACAGGGGCCAUUAAUGGUGGACCCGAGGUAACCUCGCAGUCGCCUUUGUCACGGGUGGAACAAUCCAUCUCCUCUGAUCCCAACAAAGUGUACUUGUAAAAGCAGAAUGGAGUUAAGCUUGUUUACAUAAAUACGCAUUUCCUCAUGUUUUUGUUCUUCUUUCGUGGGAGGCACAUUUUCCUUCUCGUGGAAGCACGGAUUUGGUUUCGCGUGAGG
rnacentral:lncRNA from 1 species